ACUAACUCCCCUGAACGAGUUGCGAUGGGAGCACCUUAGUCAUUUUCUCGCCCGCUUAAUAUUAGGAGGUAUGCGUA
rnacentral:sRNA from 1 species